rnacentral:rRNA from 1 species
AGAGUUUGAUCCUGGCUCAGGAUGAACGCUGACAGAAUGCUUAACACAUGCAAGUCUACUUGAUCCUUCGGGUGAAGGUGGCGGACGGGUGAGUAACGCGUAAAGAACUUGCCUUACAGACUGGGACAACAUUUGGAAACGAAUGCUAAUACCGGAUAUUAUGAUUGGGUCGCAUGAUCUGGUUAUGAAAGCUAUAUGCGCUGUGAGAGAGCUUUGCGUCCCAUUAGUUAGUUGGUGAGGUAACGGCUCACCAAGACGAUGAUGGGUAGCCGGCCUGAGAGGGUGAACGGCCACAAGGGGACUGAGACACGGCCCUUACUCCUACGGGAGGCAGCAGUGGGGAAUAUUGGACAAUGGACCAAAAGUCUGAUCCAGCAAUUCUGUGUGCACGAUGAAGUUUUUCGGAAUGUAAAGUGCUUUCAGUUGGGAAGAAGUCAGUGACGGUACCAACAGAAGAAGCGACGGCUAAAUACGUGCCAGCAGCCGCGGUAAUACGUAUGUCGCAAGCGUUAUCCGGAUUUAUUGGGCGUAAAGCGCGUCUAGGCGGCUUAGUAAGUCUGAUGUGAAAAUGCGGGGCUCAACCCCGUAUUGCGUUGGAAACUGCUAAACUAGAGUACUGGAGAGGUAGGCGGAACUACAAGUGUAGAGGUGAAAUUCGUAGAUAUUUGUAGGAAUGCCGAUGGGGAAGCCAGCCUACUGGACAGAUACUGACGCUAAAGCGCGAAAGCGUGGGUAGCAAACAGGAUUAGAUACCCUGGUAGUCCACGCCGUAAACGAUGAUUACUAGGUGUUGGUGGGUACGACCCAUCGGUGCCGCAGCAAACGCAAUAAGUAAUCCACCUGGGGAGUACGUUCGCAAGAAUGAAACUCAAAGGAAUUGACGGGGACC